rnacentral:rRNA from 1 species
AUUAAACGCUGGCGGCAUGCCUAACACAUGCAAGUCGAACGGAGGUAGGGGCAACUCUACUUCAGUGGCGGACGGGUGAGGAAUGCGUCGGAAUCUACCCUAUGGUGGGGGAUAACACAGGGAAACUUGUGCUAAUACCGCAUGAUGUCGAGAGACCAAAGCAGGGGACCGCAAGGCCUUGCGCGAUAGGAUGAGCCGACGCCCGAUUAGCUAGUUGGUAGGGUAAUGGCCUACCAAGGCGACGAUCGGUAGCUGGUCUGAGAGGAUGAUCAGCCACACUGGGACUGAGACACGGCCCAGACUCCUACGGGAGGCAGCAGUGGGGAAUAUUGGACAAUGGGCGCAAGCCUGAGUCCAGCAAUGCCGCGUGUGUGAAGAAGGCCUGCGGGUUGUAAAGCACUUUUGUUCGGGAAGAAAUCAUGCCGGCUAAUACCUGGUAUGGAUGACGGUACCGAAAGAAUAAGCACCGGCUAACUUCGUGCC